rnacentral:rRNA from 1 species
CAGCCCUUGACAUGGGACGUAUGGGAAGCAGAGACGCUUCUCUUCAGUUCGGCUGGCGUCCACACAGGUGCUGCAUGGCUGUCGUCAGCUCGUGUCGUGAGAUGUUGGGUUAAGUCCCGCAACGAGCGCAACCCUCAUCUUCAGUUGCCAUCGGGUAAGGCUGGGCACUCUGGAGAAACUGCCGGUGACAAGCCGGAGGAAGGCGGGGAUGACGUCAAGUCCUCAUGGCCCUUACGGGCUGGGCUACACACGUGCUACAAUGGCGGUGACAGCGGGCGGCGACGGUGCGAGCCGAAGCCAAUCCCGAAAAGCCGUCUCAGUUCGGAUUGCACUCUGCAACUCGAGUGCAUGAAGUUGGAAUCGCUAGUAAUCGCGGAUCAGCAUGCCGCGGUGAAUACGUUCCC